UAUUAAAAAAUUCAUCCAUUUUAUUGUUAAAAUUUGGUGUAGCUGAUGGAAUAACUAGAUAAUAACUUGUGGUGUGUGCCACGUGUACCUCAUGUUGAUGCAUAGAGAUCAAUUUUUAAUAGUAAAAAUGAAUGAAUUUUUUAACA
rfam:Gossypium hirsutum cultivar TM-1 chromosome 10, whole genome shotgun sequence